rnacentral:lncRNA from 1 species
ACACGUUCAAAGAACCCACAUGCAUCGACAAGACAGCAAGGCAACAUGAAGGCCUAUAUUUAUAUUAUUCGGACCUUGAUUUGGACCGUGGCCAUGAGUGGUUUUCUUCAAGUAAACUCUGUUUACGCCACAGCCUUGAACACAAUCAACCUAAUGCAGAAAGAUAUCAAAUGUCCUUCAGAUUCAAUCUUCUACACGCCAGUCGAUGUGACGGAGCAAUGCAUCGCCACCGCACUGCGCUGUGUCGAGGUGGAGCUUCAACACACCGUCAAAGGAGAAUGUAAUUACCCAAUAAAACGCAUUGACCAGGGACUCAAAGUCUUGCGAAAAACAAUGGAAAAAUGGAAGGUUUACAGCAAACAUAAUCAGAGGAAGGUCUGCCAUAGCGUCUGUGAGGAAUGGCCCGAGAGGUCCUUCAGGGUAUUUCUGAAUAAAACCAAAGAUUUGGUUCAGCUGGUGUAUGACCUGAGUAAGAGCGUGACGUGAGAGGACCGUGUGUCACUUUCUACUGACUAUACAAAGAAACACUAGAAGAAAAUCAACUUGAGGGACUAAAGGACUAAGUCGUCUGACCAUGGACCACAUCUGACCAGCGUCUGAGAAGAUGGGAUCCAUGUUUUGGAGUAAAGACACAUUUUAAAUAUGUCUUGGAUGUACAGUCAUUAAAAAAACAACAAAUAUUUAUAUUUUAAAGGGUGACCAUAAGUCCGGUUUAACCCAGACAUGUUCUCUUUUCACGUCUUGUGCAGGGAAAUGUUUGAAAUUGUCCGGGUUUCCCAGGGACCUUGAACGCAUCUCAGGGAACAUAUUAAUAUAAGAGACUGUAACUCUGUUAAUAUUUGCUCUGAGAAAUUCCACUAGUUUCUGUCAUUAUGAUAAUUUUACUCACACGUGAAAAUUAAAGAUGCC